rnacentral:rRNA from 1 species
UACCUAUAAGACUGGGAUAACUUCGGGAAACCGGAGCUAAUACCGGAUAAUAUUUCGAACCGCAUGGUUCGAUAGUGAAAGANGGUUUUGCUAUCACUUAUAGAUGGACCCGCGCCGUAUUAGCUAGUUGGUAAGGUAACGGCUUACCAAGGCUACGAUACGUAGCCGACCUGAGAGGGUGAUCGGCCACACUGGAACUGAGACACGGUCCAGACUCCUACGGGAGGCAGCAGGC